GGAAACAUAGCAAAAAGAGGUAAUGCGACAGACUUUUAAUCUGUAGGUGCAGGUUCGAAUCCUGCUGUUUCUA
rnacentral:tRNA from 1 species